UCAGAUCUUGAUCUCAGUCAUGAGUUUGAGCCCCACGUUGGGCUCCGUGCUGGACAUGAAGCCUACUUAAAAAAAAAAAAAAAAAUCUCUAAUGACCUAACCCUGAAUUCAUUCUGUUUCUGAAAGUAUUCUUUCAUUCAUACCCAAGAAUUUAACUUAAUAGCAUUCUCUUCUUGAGAAAUUACAGGUAUUUUUUAAAAUCUCUGGUGAAUUUCCAUGAUGAGAAAUGAUACUGGUGGAAAGUAUAGCAAUCCCAUGAAUAUUUUGCCUGGAAAUGGUCUCCAAGCAACUUCUAAUUAGAUCUCUACCAGACACUAGGAAAAGUUUGAGACUUUAAAGAAAGGAUCUGUUUGCAUCUAAUUUCUACUUUGGCUGCUCCUACCGCAGUGAGUAGCAGUUCUGGAUCAAGUUCCCAGUGGCAGCACUGUUGGGGGAUAGUCUGCAUAUUUUUAGGAUGACUGACAUCAUCCUAAAAGGUUGGAUUACACUCUUUUUUCUGAAAAUUUAUGACUUUGGCUGUUAUUUAGAGCACUUAAAUCUUCAGAGUCUCACCAAAGUUUUUUGUUUUGUUUCUUUUCAAAUGAUCUUCAGAAGUGUAUUGUAGAUAUGCCACACCCUGAAUGAUAACACUUUUAUUGGUAAAGUUACAGCACAGUGCAACAAACAGAUCAAAAGCACACUACAAUUUCUCUUCCAUUGGUUCUGAAAACCCUAGGCCUCUACUUUAAAAGAGAUCCAGACUCCCCAAGAGUCCUAUAGGUCCACUAAAAAAAAAUUUGUAGUUGAUUUUUUUCAACCCUCCAUCAAUUCUAAUGAACUUAGAAGAAAUUACAGGCAACCUCCAACAUGCAUUUUAGAACUGAAUUUGUAUAAGAAUGAUGGCCAUGAUCUUUGAUAUGAUGUAGGUUGAAAAGGCAAAAAAUCUCAUUUGUAUGAAUUUGUGCAAACGUUUCCUGUGGAAGAAAUGAUACAGAGAAAAGGAGUAAGUUCCCAGAUUCGCAUAUAAAAGCCUAUUAAACCAUAAUUUAGCAAAACUGCUUUUAUGGAAAAAGUAUCCCUUGCCAGUCCCAGGCAUGAGAGUCCAUCCCCUGUCCUAAAAUAACUACAUCUUUCCAAAUUUUGAGACGGGUGAUCUGAGAUCAUGAACUGUAACUUCCUUAAUAUCAGAGACUUAUCUCCAUCCCCAGUGAGUUGUAUGUAUGAGAGGUGGGGAGGAGCUAUGGGAAAAGCUCUAAAUGAAAGGAACAACGUAUACAAAACUGGGUGGUUAGAGUUUGGCAGGGUAAAGUAAGUGGGUCUUCCAGCACUUCGGCCUCCCAUUCUUGGUUACUGCAGUGGUCCUGGGAAGCCCUAUCCUCAGGGCUUCACUGCAAUCUGGGCUCAGUUUUCAAUUUUGCAGACAUUCUAGGGAAUGCAGGGCAUUCCUUUCCCUGACUCCCACUUCCCUACCUCUGGCCUCAAGUUUAGACCUCAUUGGUUUCCAAAAAAGACUUCCCUUCUUUCUUCUCUCAGGGUCCUCCCCUCUCAUGCAUCUUUCCCUUCCAAUCCUGGGCUUCUCCCUCUACCUCUUUACUAAGAAGCCACCCUGCUGUUGACCUAUGCCCCUCACAGACUUUUGCACUCAGCAUACUUUUUAACGUUCCCCUUUCCCCAUUCUCUUCUUGUUCUCUGUCCUCUUUCUAAUUUGAUGGAGUCCUCUCUCACUUCCUGACCUGUGCCUUAUUUCUCAUCCUCUUGACUCCCUUUUCUUACUUCCACUGUGGACAACCUUCUCCCAUCUCUCCUAUCCCACUUCUGACUCUUUCUUCUGUCUGGCCAUUGAGCUGAUAAUGUUCUUUUUCUUUCCACGUCUUAUUCCUUUCCUUCUCUCCAUCCAUACUAGAGGCCCUUCUCUACCUCCUCUCCAAUUUCCUUCCUGCAUCUUUCUCCCACUUUCUAUCCUACUCUCUGACUGCCUGUCCUCCAUUACAGAUCCUUCCUCCUCUUCCUGACCCAAGGACCUCCACCCAUCCCAUUCCUUUUCUCUGUUUCUUUUUCCUCAAAGUCCUUCACCUGAGUCAGGGUCCCUUUCUGCUCUGGACUGUAUUUUCAGUCCCUGUGUUUUUGACUCUAGGCUAAAAACACGUCUUCAUCAUUCCUAACUCCUAGGAGUCCCACACCUCUAACCAAGCUGAGCUUUUAUUCUUCAUCUCUCUCCCCUCCAUAUUUCCCAGGUAUUCUUAAAACUUUUUACAUAUGAAAAUAACCAAAUGCAGCAAUGGAGGUACUAAUAUGCUUCAAACAUGCUUCUUGCUGUUCCUGAACACUCCCCUUACCCUUUCCCCACAUCUGGCUUCUUUUCUUCAGAUUUUAGCCUAAAAAUCACAUCCUCAGAGAAUCCUUCCCCACUUACCCAAUGUAAAAGGGCUCCAAAUCCCACACACAUACCAUUUGAUUUGUUUUCUGAAGAAUAUUGAAAAAAAAGUAAAGAAUAUUUAACAUUGAUGUCUUGAUGUGUUGUCUGUCCAUCUAGCAUUGAAGCUCCACGAUUAGAGGUAUCAGUUAGAAUGGUGCCUUGCAGGCAGCCCAGGUGGCUCAGUGGUUUAGGGCUGCCUUCAGCCCAGGGCGUGAUCCUGGAGAUCUGGGAUCAAGUCCCAUGUCGGGCUCCCUGCAUGGAGCCUGCUUCUCCCUCUGCCUGUGUCUCUGCCUCUUUCUCUGUGUAUGUCUCUCAUGAAUAUAUAAAUAAAACCUUAAAAAAAAAGAAAAAAAAAGAAUGGUGCCUGGCACAAAAUGGCUCAGUCAGAAUUUGCAAAAUAAGUUCGUGAUUGCUGGGUGCCAGACACCAUGCUGAGUGCUCAUUUUGUAUUACCUCAUUUAAUCCUUACAACAAGCCUGAUAAAGUACUUUAUUAUUGCUAUUUUACACCCUAACAAACUGAAGUGCAAAAAAAUAAGUGAAUUUCCUUAUUGUCUCAAAAUAAUUGGCAUACUAGGAAUUUAAUCCAAAUCUGUACAUAGUCAUAGCCUGUGUUCCUUCUACUUUCUCCGGCUGUCCAGAGGUGCUUAGGAAUGGAAAGGAAAGGAAAUGGAUCUGAAUGCAAGAUAGGCCAAAUGGGGAUCAGAGCUCCAUUUCUGUAGCAGGGAGUGCAGGGAUUUACAGUAAAGACACAAGAUCCUAAGUGAAGAGGAGAAUAAGAGCUAACUACUUUGUGUCAGGUACUGUUUGGAGCAAUAUAUUGAAACUUCACCUAGGAGAGGUAGGUAAUAUCAUUUUACAGGUAAGAAGACGGAGCCUGAGAGAUGCCAUUUAUCUUCUCCAAGGUCAUAUGUCUAAGAUAUGGGGAAGCUGGGAUCUGACUCCAGAACACAUACUCUGAUUGCUAUCCCUCCUCACUACCCUUUUAUAAACAGAUAUAGAAUAGUGGUAUACUGUGUGUUGGGCACUAACUCCUGCUUCCUGGAUUUUGUUUUCUUCAUGGAAUGACCUCAGGUAAUGUGACACUCCUCCCUCCUGGCCUAUUUCUCACUGCUCUCCACAGAGGAGAAAAUUGAUGACAUCCGUUCAUCCCGGUCACUCCACUGACACUGGGGAGACCCCUCCCCCCGCCUUUGAAUCUUUCCUGUUCACCUGGGUUCAGCAUAGGGCAGCAGUUCUGCACUGGUGCAUCUGCUCUACGGAUUAAAAUUUUUUCCUUGAGUGAAUAUCCCAGGUUUAGAUUAGCCAAGCAUCAGAGGGACAAAAAUGGAGAGCAAGCCCUCCUGACCUUAACUAAAACACUAUUUGCUAAUCAGCUUUAUUGCUAAAAAACAAUUUUGAACUAAAAAAAAAAAAAAAACCUUCCUUGAUCCUUGAUG